rnacentral:lncRNA from 1 species
GGGGGAUCAGCACAAAUAGAGAGGGAGGAGAACGACAAAAAGAAACAGCAAAAGCUGCGCAUAAAGGAAAAAGAAAGCUAAGAAAAGCUGCGCGCAGAACGACCCACCCCUCGGAUCGUCUCCUUCACAUCCCCCCACCCAAACGACUACUGAACUUCAGCCCUCACCUUAACCAACACCUUCCUCAACAAAAAAUCAAAAAAAAGAGUGUCGAAGACCCCCUAUCGAAUCCUAAGCAGCGACACCCACGAGCAGCUACUGUUGUUGUUGCAUGUUGUCGCAGUUCCGGCGAGCUAGAGGCCUAGACGUAAUUCUGUUUCCGGUCAGAGGUCCGUCGAGGUCCGGUGCGUCGAGGUUCGUCCAUGGUUCAUCGCAUUUUUGAGUUCAGCGCUACCUCGCCAUUAAUAUUCUGAUUCACUUUUGAGGUUUGGUUCCUCAAUUUCUCGUACUCUGUUGUGCUUAAUAGUGUACUUCCGUCAACUUUGUCAUUCUCUGUUGCAUGAAAUGUUUGGAUUUAUUUGUUUGAAUUAGCCUCAGUAUGAAUAUGCAAUUGCAUGGUCGUUUUCUCCCUGAUGCAAUCUUUAGAUCUUAAGUGUUGAAAAUUUCGCAUAUCUGUCUGAGAAAAUAUUUUUUUUUUAAAUAUAUAUGAUUUGGUUUCGUCUCUCUUGGGUGUUAGUUGAAAAAAAAAAUAAUUAGUAGUAAUAUGUUCGAAAAAUAUAGUUUGUUGAUAGUAUAAGAUAUGGGUUUGAUGUGUUGAAAUUAUGUCGUAACAGAGGAACUAGAGCUUGUUUUAAAGGCAGAGGUCUUGGCAUAAGGAAGUUUCAAUUGACAUUCUUUUGGUUUUCCCAAAUAGUGGAGUUGUAAAUACGCAGUCCAUACAUAGCGUACAUCUUAAUACACUAGAUAUAUGCAUGAGUGUGGAGCAUUGAGAAUACUUUCAUUUUGACAAGAAUAAAAAAAGUUAAAGCUGUCAUUUUGUCAUUGGUGAAAAUACCAUGUUGGAG